AGAGUUUGAUCCUGGCUCAGGAUGAACGCUGGCGGCGUGCUUAACACAUGCAAGUCGAACGAAGCACUUAUCUUUGAUUCUUCGGAUGAAGAGGUUUGUGACUGAGUGGCGGACGGGUGAGUAACGCGUGGGUAACCUGCCUCAUACAGGGGGAUAACAGUUAGAAAUGACUGCUAAUACCGCAUAAGACCACGGAGCUGCAUGGCUCAGUGGGAAAAACUCCGGUGGUAUGAGAUGGACCCGCGUCUGAUUAGGUAGUUGGUGGGGUAACGGCCUACCAAGCCAACGAUCAGUAGCCGACCUGAGAGGGUGACCGGCCACAUUGGGACUGAGACACGGCCCAAACUCCUACGGGAGGCAGCAGUGGGGAAUAUUGCACAAUGGGGGAAACCCUGAUGCAGCGACGCCGCGUGAGCGAAGAAGUAUUUCGGUAUGUAAAGCUCUAUCAGCAGGGAAGAAAAUGACGGUACCUGGCUAAGAAGCACCGGCUAAAUACGUGCCAGCAGCCGCGGUAAUACGUAUGGUGCAAGCGUUAUCCGGAUUUACUGGGUGUAAAGGGAGCGUAGACGGCUGUGUAAGUCUGAAGUGAAAGCCCGGGGCUCAACCCCGGGACUGCUUUGGAAACUAUGCAGCUAGAGUGUCGGAGAGGUAAGUGGAAUUCCCAGUGUAGCGGUGAAAUGCGUAGAUAUUGGGAGGAACACCAGUGGCGAAGGCGGCUUACUGGACGAUGACUGACGUUGAGGCUCGAAAGCGUGGGGAGCAAACAGGAUUAGAUACCCUGGUAGUCCACGCCGUAAACGA
rnacentral:rRNA from 1 species